UGGGGGAUAUUGCACAAUGGGCGAAAGCCUGAUGCAGCGACGCCGCGUGGGGGAUGAAGGCUUUCGGGUUGUAAACCUCUUUCGCUAUCGAACAAGGCCCGCCUAGGGUGGGUUGAGGGUAGGUGGAGAAGAAGCGCCGGCUAACUACGUGCCAGCAGCCGCGGUAAUACGUAGGGCGCGAGCGUUGUCCGGAAUUAUUGGGCGUAAAGGGCUUGUAGGCGGCUUGUUGCGCCUGCUGUGAAAACGCGGGGCUUAACUUCGCGCGUGAAGUGGGUACGGGCAGGCUUGAGUGUGGUAGGGGUGACUGGAAUUCCAGGUGUAGCGGUGGAAUGCGCAGAUAUCUGGAGGAACACCGAUGGCGAAGGCAGGUCACUGGGCCAUUACUGACGCUGAGGAGCGAAAGCAUGGGUAGCGAACAGG
rnacentral:rRNA from 1 species